UACAGAGGGUGCGAGCGUUAAUCGGAAUUACUGGGCGUAAAGCGCACGUAGGCGGCUUGGUAUGUCGGGUGUGAAAUCCCCGGGCUCAACCUGGGAACUGCAUCCGAAACUGCCUUGCUCGAGUAUGGGAGAGGGAAGCGGAAUUUCCGGUGUAGCGGUGAAAUGCGUAGAUAUCGGAAGGAACAUCAGUGGCGAAGGCGGCUUCCUGGACCAAUACUGACGCUCAGGUGCGAAAGCGUGGGGAGCAAAC
rnacentral:rRNA from 1 species